rnacentral:rRNA from 1 species
AGCGAACGCUGGCGGCAGGCCUAACACAUGCAAGUCGAGCGCCGUAGCAAUACGGAGCGGCAGACGGGAGAGUAACACGUGGGAACGUGCCCUUCAGUUCGGAACAACCCAGGGAAACUUGGGCUAAUACCGGAUACGUCCGUAAGGAGAAAGAUUUAUCGCUGAAGGAUCGGCCCGCGUCUGAUUAGCUAGUUGGUGGGGUAACGGCCCACCAAGGCGAUGAUCAGUAGCUGGUCUGAGAGGACGAUCAGCCUCACUGGGACUGAGGCACGGCCCAGACUCCUACGGGAGGCAGCAGUGGGGAAUAUUGGACAAUGGGCGCAAGCCUGAUCCAGCCAUGCCGCGUGGGUGAUGAAGGCCCUAGGGUUGUAAAGCCCUUUCGGCGGGGAAGAUAAUGACGGUACCCGCAGAAGAAGCCCCGGCUAACUUCGUGCCAGCCGCCGCGGUAAUAC